CUUGGUGUGAAGGUAGCUCACCCAAACUUAAAAAUGGCAAAUUUGAGUGUUUUUUUCUAAUAUUGCAUCUUUGCACAGAGUGGUGUGAAGCUUUUUUUCCUCAAGGAGAGCUGGAACUCAAAAGGACUGAGGAUAUUGUGGCCAAUGACAGGAGAAGGAACAUGUUGUAUGUUGCUUGGGAAGACACAUGGGCAAGGAGGAACGGUUGCCACAAUGUGUGGGGAACAAUGGCAUCCUCUGUCUUACACAGAGAGGCCGGAUCACAGUCAAGAGACUUGGAGUACUGUGGUAGCUCCCAGGAGCCAUGAACCAAGUGCCUCUUAACCUAGGGACUCUAUAAAC
rnacentral:lncRNA from 1 species